GAUGAACGCUGACAGAAUGCUUAACACAUGCAAGUCAACUUGAACUUCGGUUUGGGUGGCGGACGGGUGAGUAACGCGUAAAGAACCUGCCUCACAGCUAGGGACAACAUUUGGAAACGAAUGCUAAUACCUGAUAUUAUGAUUAUAUGGCAUCGUAUAAUUAUGAAAGCUAUAUGCGCUGUGAGAGAGCUUUGCGUCCCAUUAGCUAGUUGGAGAGGUAACAGCUCACCAAGGCGAUGAUGGGUAGCCGGCCUGAGAGGGUGAUCGGCCACAAGGGGACUGAGACACGGCCCUUACUCCUACGGGAGGCAGCAGUGGGGAAUAGUGGACAAUGGACCGAGAGUCUGAUCCAGCAAUUCUGUGUGCACGAUGAAGUUUUUCGGAAUGUAAAGUGCUUUCAGUUGGGAAGAAAAAAAUGACGGUACCAACAGAAGAAGUGACGGCUAAAUACGUG
rnacentral:rRNA from 1 species